rnacentral:rRNA from 1 species
UAGGCGGCCGGAGUAAGUUGGAGGUGGAAUCCCGUGGCCCAACCACGGAAUCGCCUCCAAAACUGCCCGGCUCGAGGACGACAGGGGAGAGUGGAACUCCUGGUGGAGCGGUGAAAUGCGUAGAUAUCAGGAGGAACGCCGGCGGCGAAAGCGACUCUCUAGGUCGUUCCUGACGCUGAGUGUGCGAAAGCCAGGGUAGCGAACGGGAUUAGAUACCCCGGUAGUCCUGGCCGUAAACGAUGGGCACUUGGCAUUGGGGCUUUGCCUCAGUGCCGUAGCUAACGUGUUAAGUGCCCCGCCUGGGUAGUACGACCGCAAGGUUAAAACUCAAAGUAAUUGACGGGGGCUCGCACAAGCGGUGGAGCACGCGCCUUAAUUCGAGGCAACGCGAGGAACCUUACCAGGACUUGACAUGUCGGUGGUACGAACCCGAAAGGGGGAGGACCCUGUUUUGCAGGGAGCCGUCACAGGUGUUGCAUGGCUGUCGUCCGCUCGUAUCGAGAGAUGUUGGGUUAAGUCCCGUAACGAGCGAAACCCUUGUCCUUAGUUGCCAGCACGUAGUGGUGGGGACUCUAAGGAGACUGCCGGUGUCAAACCGGAGGAAGGUGGGGACGACGUCAAGUCAUCAUGGCCCUUAUGUUCUGGGCGGGACGCAUGCUACAAUGACCGGUACAGCGGGAUGCGAAGUCGCAAGACGGAGCGAAACCCUUAAAGCCGGUCCCAGUUCGGAUCGGGGUCUGCAACCCGA